UACGGAGGGUGCGAGCGUUGUCCGGAAUCACUGGGCGUAAAGGGCGCGUAGGCGGCGCGGGCAGUCAACGGUGAAAGCUCGGGGCUCAACCCCGAGUCGGCCGUCGAUACUCCCGUGCUCGAGCACUGUAGAGGCAGGUGGAAUUCCGGGUGUAGCGGUGGAAUGCGUAGAGAUCCGGAAGAACACCGGUGGCGAAGGCGGCCUGCUGGACCAUAACUGACACUCAGGGACGAAAGCUAGGGGAGCGAAUGGG
rnacentral:rRNA from 1 species